rnacentral:rRNA from 1 species
UACCAGCACCCCGAGUGGUCGGGGCGAUUAUUGGGCCUAAAGCAUCCGUAGCCGGUUCUACAAGUCUUCCGUUAAAUCCACCUGCUCAACAGAUGGGCUGCGGAGGAUACUAUAGAGCUAGGAGGCGGGAGAGGCAAGCGGUACUUAGUGGGUAGGGGUAAAAUCCGUUGAUCCAUUGAGGACCACCAGUGGCGAAGGCGGCUUGCCAGAACGCACUCGACGGUGAGGGAUGAAAGCUGGGGGAGCAAACCGG